rnacentral:lncRNA from 1 species
CAAUGUUGUUAACUGGGGUUGCUUGUGGGUGAUGUGAAAUGUGCAGUUUGGUUUUUAAGACUCCAAAGCUGGAAGUUUGUAAUUCUCUUGGUUCAGGUUGGAUUGAAUACUCGAAUUUUUAGCUGCAACCAUGGACAGAAUGGUUAGGUUUAGAACAGAUUAAGUGUUUCAAUUGGUGAAUUCUGAGUUAACAUCCACAUACAAGAAGGUUCCAAUCACAUGUUGGAAGAACUCUUGUAUGCUCCACAAUCACUGCAUUUGAACUCUUGAUCGAUGUGCUAUGAAAAACCUCUCGUGACGUGCAUUUUGGCAAUUCUAUUGUGUGUGAAUGGUCCGAUUGCUGUCUUAUAUAUCCUUCACUCUGUUUCCUUCACAUGAAGGAAUUUCAUGUAGGAAUAAGAUCUUGACUAAUACUUCAACAUAUGUUUGUUUCUUUUUAGGAUGAUAUACGUAAAGAAGC